rnacentral:tRNA from 1 species
GCGCUCGUAGCUCAGCUGGAUAGAGUACCUGACUACGAAUCAGGGGGUCAUGGGUUCGAUUCCCUUCGAGCGCACCA